UUAUGCGAUCUUUGUAUGGGGUUGUGCCUUUAUCAUAAGUAGUAUCUGUGUCAUCAAAGAUUCUAUUUCCGCAACCAAACUUGCAUCAAAUAAGAUUGUACGACUGACACUUGGAAAUUGUGUACGACUGACACUUGGAAAUUGCUCGCUCUCUGAGAAAGAACCGUUUACAUUUUAUGGAAUCAAAAGUGUUUGUGUCAUUGGUAGCAUUUGCUUGUCCUUCUCUACAGCACUGAAGAUCGCACGCUGUAAAAAGCAAACAAGCUUUCGUCUAACAGAUUCAGAAAGCAAGCGGUAUAAUGACAAUAAGGAAUGGUUUAAUCUGUAUCUGAAGCUAUUUAUUAUGUUGU